GAUUUACUCUUCUUCCACUUGUACUUUGUCUGGGCAGCUUACCCCUUGUGCCAACUGUUCCCUUUUUUAAAAUCUAGCUAACAUGUUACCAGAACUUCAUGGUGUCUUUGCAAGAAAAAAGGUGGCCAGUCCAAAGUCUGGAAAAAAUCAAAAAAGCCGUGACCUUAUUUAGCUUCUGUGACAGUCAGUGUGUGCAGCAUUGAGCCUGUCAGCUGCAGGUACAUAUUGCCUUACCAAGCUUAUCUGAAGCAGAAAAUGAUGCUUUUGAUUCUGCUUCUCAUUCCUGGUACAUGAAAGAAUCACAGGGAAGUUACUUAACCUUCCUUCCCGCUGCACACACUGUACCCAAAAAGCAGUUGUAAUGCUUUUCAGAUGGAUUUUGGAAUGAAAAAAGAAUCUUAUAAUUGAUAAAUAAGAGACCUCUUCUUCCAGGGAUGCUAAUGUGUAGAUAAAGAUAAUAAUCUCUGGAUAGCUAAUCCCAAAAGUAGACGAGACUGCUGCAAGGGUUUUCUGGAGCUGAGUUGCUCCAUGUGACAAGACUAUGGCUUUUUUAGAUGAACUGUCUCUACUGUAGUCUGCCUCCGUCCCUCACAGCGUAACUCACACUUAGCCUUCUAAACGGUGCCAACAACUAUUGAUGUGGAUGGGCAGUUUGUGUAUAGGAGGAAUCUUAAUUUUUUUGUAUCAUGAAAUGAGAUGCCUGGAGAAAAGAACGUAUAAGAAGAACUGUCUAUUACCUCAUGUUUUCUAUAAUCUUCUCAGUUUACAAAUGUUGGGACAAGUGGGAGAAGCGUACGUCUGAUAUUACCAGUCUGUAAAUGGACCUUACUGGUACCUGCUGCUGCUCCUCCUCUGUGAGAUCUUGUGCAUCUGGCUCCCACAUCCAUCCCAUGUAUGCCGAAUCUGUCUGGUACAAGAUUUUUGAGAUUGAAGAGUACCAUAAAGAGAAUACCAGCUUGGUUGUGUCAAGUGUGUGCAGGGUUUGGAGCACGCUAUGUUUUAAGUCACUUCAAGUAGGAAGUAGGCACUGAUACAGAACACAGAAAGGAAAGCAAGAGGCAGCAGCGAUAGGCUUGACUUCAUCUGUGGAGCACAGGAUUUGAAAUGACAGCUCUUUCACUUCUGACAGCACUGCCCUCUGCAAGUCAUCAUUUCUUAGCUUUUUUGGCUAGACCUCGAGGCCAGAGUGGAAAGAAGUGGCCAGUGAUGGAACGACAAAUGCAGCAACGAGCUGUUAUUUCAUACCAUCUCCAGCUGAAGGCAGUCCUCACUACACCAGUCGUACUGACAAAUGUUCAAAGGAAUGGUAGUCACAAAGGCUGGAAA